ACAUUCUCAGCGCACGAAAAUGUGCGUUUUUUAAAGCUCUAAAAAUGGUUCUUAGACAACUUUGAUGAGAAAUUUGAAACAAAAAAGAUAAUGCGUUUAAACUGCUUUGACCAAAUUUGGAGCAUUUUCCCAUAGUUUUCAUAGGGUGCCGCUAGAACAAAUCGUUUUAUUGCUUUAUCUUUUUUGUUUCAAAUUUCUUGUCAAAGUCACUUUAGAACCACUUUUUGAGCUUUCAAAAACGCGCAUUUUCGUGCGCUGAGAAUGUUGCUACGUCAUUCCGUUCAAAUGAUAUUGAUGAUUUUCUAGAAAAAAUAGGCACUUUUCAAGUAUUUUUCACUUGAGUUAAUUUUUUGAUAUGUUUUAUAACAACAUUUCUUCUUUUGAAUGCGGGCAAAAGAUAUUUUUUAUCUUUGCCCCAACCCAUCAUAAACCCUUUAAAAUAAAACUAUGAUUUUUUUUUAAGAAAAAUGCUUGUAACUUUUGAACCAAAAGUGAUAACGACCAUCUCAGCGCACGAAACGACGCGUCUUCAAAUGUUCUACAAGUGUUUGUUGGGUGACUUUGAUGAAAGAUCGAAACUGAAAAAGCUAACGAAAAAUAAACGGAUUUUCUUGAACCACCCUAAGCUUAUUAAUACCUCUAGAUCGGUCAAUUUUAAAGCUACAUAAAAAGUGUCUUUAGCAAACUUGCUCAAAAUUGAUAGAUCCACAACUUUCCCGAAGAAUGUAUACUAGAGUGGGUCAACGUUGUAUGGAGAAACUUUAAAUUUGAUCGUAUCAACCCGGAACAAAGCUUUUUCAAUCUAUAUUAGCGUCCAAAACAACUGUGCAAAAUUCGGGAGCGAUUGAUUGCGUCCCCGUAUUCCGCAUUGCGAUUGAAAUUUGUAUGGAAGUUAGUAUGGGAAAACGUACUUUUUUGCAUUUUACUCAUAAGUUGAUUUUUUUUGUCCAAUACCAUGUAACUAAUGACGUUAAAGUAUAGCCUAGGAUAUGCCAAAAAACUUCACCGAAGACCGCAAAGCGAUCCGACGCUUGUGAAAAAAGUUAUUCACCUGGUAACUUAGGGCAAAAAUUGAGAUUUUAUUAUUGAUGUUAUUCCUUUACAUGUUAAAUGUUAAGCACCACUGGGCAAUCUAUACGUUAUAACUUUUUUCACAAGUGUCGGAUCACUUUGUGGUCUUCGGCAAAGUUGUUCGGCAUAUCCUAGGCUAUACUUUACCGUCAUUGGUUAGACUGGUUUAGACGAAAAAUUUCAAUUUAUGAGAAAAAUGCAAAAAAGCACGUUUUCCCAUACUAAAUUCCAUACAAAUUUCAAUCGCAAUGCGGAAUACGGGGAAGCAACCAAUCGCUCCCAAAUUUUGCACAGUUACUUCGGACGCUAAAAUGAAUCGAAAAAGCUUUGUUCCGAAAAAUCGGCUUUAUUGACCCAGUCUAAUGUAUACAGUUAUUCCUGCAAAUAAAAAAGUUUGGCUACCAAUUUCUUUGAAAACAUGGACCACCCUAAUUUUCAUGCACAUUUUAAAGAGGGCCUUAUAAUUACGGACAACUUUGUAGAAGACCAUAUUUGUCCAAAAACUCAUUUGAAGGCGUUGAAUGCAUCUUUCCUCGUAAAUCUGGUUCGUGGACCACUGUGCAUUGGUUUCUUUUUGGACAAACAUUUGACCCUGUGUACUAACAGAUUUACAUCCUGAGUCAUUGCUGCAUAGUAGUUUAUCAUCUUCCUCUUACGCUGGAGUGCUAUCUCGGUGACCCAGACAACCAGGAAUCGCAUAAGGAUGCACGCUGUACAUCGUAUAAGGUAUUAUUUCAAGUCACUAUCGCAUAUAUGUACAACUGAGGGACAAUUUUCAUCGCAUAUGAUGUUAUUUUCUGAACUUAUUGCGAUGUAUCUGGUAAAAUCAUAUAAGAGUGCAAAUUAACUUUUAUCAUGUAUGACUACGUCGUAGUAGGCGAUGUUCUGAUGUUUUAUUGCGAUGAACUUUGCUCAUUCGCAAUAGCAUUCGAGCGAACUGGCAAAGUGUUAACUGAAUUCGCAUAAUUGCGUACUGCGAUGGUUAUACGACUUCGCCUGGUACUUUUAUUAUUAUGUCAGUUUAUCUCACAUUGGUGUACAAACUGAAUCGCAUAAAAGUAAAAAUAAACCCUCUAAAAUGUGCAUACAAACUCGCAUAUGCUAGAAUCGUUAACGUUGACAUAUUGCGAUGCACUACGUGAUAACAAUGAAAGAGGUGCUCUUAGAGUACCAAAAAGCUACAAGAAAGUGAGCAGUCAUCAUUAUGGUCUCAAAACAAGUUACAAAGUCAUCAUUUUUGUUUUGUUGACCUAACAAUUAACAAUGGGUUGUGCUAGCAAGAGAGGGGUAGUGAUAACUGUGUUGGAAAUCACGCUUCAUCUUUUUGAGCUCCUGAUAGCCUGCCGAACACGUACAACGCAGGGAAACCAAUUGCAUUCUAACAAACACUGAGGUGAGUUAGAAUGUCAUGACAAUUAGCCAGUGUGUUUCAUAAGUAGUGUUUGGUGUAAAAUGUGAAGUGUGGCUCGAUAUUCCAAAGGCUGUUAGUUCGAUACUGAGGUGACAAGAAUUGUUUUUUAUUCGAUUAUCAUUAAGUCGCAUAAGAUGCUAUAUUACGUCGCAAUAGUGCACACCGUGCAUCGCAUAAGAUAUCGCUUCAAGUCAUAUAGCGUUAUUAUUUUUCCGUCAAUGCACAUAUAGCGCCUCCACUUUUGUACGCAUGAGGCACUUUUACUGCAUCUUAUGCGAUGUAACUUUACCGCAUAAAAGUACGCAUAAUAUGAACAUUAGAGUGGGUCAUCGUUUAUAUGGAAAAAUGAAAAAUUCAAUGGUAUCCCAUCAGAUCAAAACUUUUUUGAUCCCAUUUCAGGACCCAAAUAAGUGUGCAAAAUUUGGGCACAAUCGGUUAUGUCUACGUUUUGCGCAUCGUGUUUGAAGUUUGUAUGGGGUUUUACAUGGGAAAACACACUUUUUUGAAUUUCUCUCAUAACAAGCUCGAAUUUUUCUAAAACCGUUUAACCGAUAAAGUAAAAACAUAGCCUAGGGUGUCCUGAAAAACUUUGUCGAAGACCGCGAAGUGAUCUGAUGCUUAUGAAAAAAGUUAUAGCGUUGGCAUUGCUUGGCGAAACAGCAUGAUUUUGUUGCUAUUGUUAUUCCUUUACAUGUUAAAACAUAAAUACAUGCAUGCGGUUCGUUGGUUAUAACUAUUUUCACAAGCAUCGGAUCGCUUUGUGGUCUUCAACAAAGUUUUUCAGAACAUGCUAGGCUAUCAUUUUACAGUAUCGGUUAAAAAAUUUCAGACAAACUUUUUCAACUUAUGGCUAAAAUGCAAAAAAGUAUGUUUUCCCAUACAAAAUCCCAUACAAAUUUCAAUUGCAAUGCGCAAAGUGUAGACGCAACCGAUCGUGCUUUGUAACCGACAAGAUAGCGUGUACGGGCGACCUCCCCUACCUGAAGUUGAACUGGCUACUCGAGAGACCAUUUACAUCUACAUCCUCGGUGGACCUCAACAGUCUGUUGAGCAUGAUCUUCUCGAGUACCUUCCUCGCCGUGUCGACCAAGCAUAUUAGUCUACAGUAUGACCCAUAAAAAAAAUGCGACACUUCAUUUUUUUGCGAUCUUUGAUGAUUUUUAAUGGAAUAAUUCUAAUGAAUUCAACUUUUUUGGAUAAGGAUACAAUAAGGAGGUCAUUGUCAUACAGGAUCCCUAAAAUUUUUGUCAAAAUAUUCAUUGGUUACGUAUAUGGGGUACCUUAUAAUUGUUAACAAUUUCUAAAAAAAAUCAAGCUUUCAUCUAAAUUUCAGAGCAAAAUGAAUUAAGAUAAAAACUUUUAAACACAUGUAAACCAUGAAGAAAUAUGUACUCUUAAAUACGCCCACGUUUGAAAAAUAUUUUUAAACAAAUUUCGAAUGUUUAGGAACCCAAAACUAAAAAAAGGUGCUAUAUAUUAAACCCGUAUUUAAGAUAAAUUAAUUAAAAACUUAACACUGUUUGAACAUUUUUCAAAACAAUUUUUUGUCGAUGAAGGCUAAUAAACAUACCUUUAUAAUAGGUACAAAUACUAAGUACUUAAAAACAAUUUCAUGCUUAAAACAUAAUAUUUUCCAAAAAUUAUCAUUUGUCAAGUAAUUCUAUUUUCAGCAAAUAUCUCAUAAUUUAUAAUACAAUAUUUUUUUCGUCCUUGUCCGACGAACCGACGAACUCCUGAAGACCUUGUUCAGCCAUGAUAGUACUAUUUUGAAAAUAAAAUUUGACUGAAUGUGACGGAAAGCAAUUGAAAGAAAAUUAUAUUCUUAAAAAACGGCCUCUGGCGCGUGGACGAUUUUGACAUCCAUAUGUUUAACGUUAUAUUUCCAAAGGUAUGUGAAUGAAAUCAGUCUAUGUUCCUAUGCCAUUAUCAGAUUAGUGGCUCUACUAUACUAUCCAAUAAAUACAUGCAAGGUUAAUCGGUUCGAAGGAGGGGAACGAUGGCUUUGAAAACUGUCGCAUUUUUUAUGGGUCAUACUGUAUAUGCCGACGGGUCUCCGAGUGGUUCCCCGCAUUUAGCAAUAGAACCAGGCUUAGCUGCUUCUGAACCUCUGGAUAAACUCCUUCGUCCAGACAUUUCUGUAUAGCAGAGCUGAACAUACCGGGAGCCUCUGCAUUAGCUACUUUCAAGGCCAGGUUUGGAUCUCCGUCCGUAGCUGGCCUUACCUACAAGACAAAAGAUACUCUUGGUACCUACAUUAUCCAGGUCGAAAUCUAGUAUGACCAGCGUCCCUAGCAGGAUCUGACCCAUUUACUUUGGCGGUAGCAGACACCUUAUAAUUGUUAACAAUUUCUAAAAAAAUCAAGCUUUCAUCUAAAUUUCAGAGCAAAAUGAAUUAAGAUAAAAACUUUUAAACACAUGUAAACCAUGAAGAAAUAUGUACUCUUAAAUACGCCCACGUUUGAAAAAUAUUUUUAAACAAAUUUCGAAUGUUUAGGAACCCAAAACUAAAAAAAGGUGCUAUAUAUUAAACCCGUAUUUAAGAUAAAUUAAUUAAAAACUUAACACUGUUUGAACAUUUUUCAAAACAAUUUUUUGUCGAUGAAGGCUAAUAAACAUACCUUUAUAAUAGGUACAAAUACUAAGUACUUAAAAACAAUUUCAUGCUUAAAACAUAAUAUUUUCCAAAAAUUAUCAUUUGUCAAGUAAUUCUAUUUUCAGCAAAUAUCUCAUAAUUUAUAAUACAAUAUUUUUUUCGUCCUUGUCCGACGAACCGACGAACUCCUGAAGACCUUGUUCAGCCAUGAUAGUACUAUUUUGAAAAUAAAAUUUGACUGAAUGUGACGGAAAGCAAUUGAAAGAAAAUUAUAUUCUUAAAAAACGGCCUCUGGCGCGUGGACGAUUUUGACAUCCAUAUGUUUAACGUUAUAUUUCCAAAGGUAUGUGAAUGAAAUCAGUCUAUGUUCCUAUGCCAUUAUCAGAUUAGUGGCUCUACUAUACUAUCCAAUAAAUACAUGCAAGGUUAAUCGGUUCGAAGGAGGGGAACGAUGGCUUUGAAAACUGUCGCAUUUUUUAUGGGUCAUACUGUAUAUGCCGACGGGUCUCCGAGUGGUUCCCCGCAUUUAGCAAUAGAACCAGGCUUAGCUGCUUCUGAACCUCUGGAUAAACUCCUUCGUCCAGACAUUUCUGUAUAGCAGAGCUGAACAUACCGGGAGCCUCUGCAUUAGCUACUUUCAAGGCCAGGUUUGGAUCUCCGUCCGUAGCUGGCCUUACCUACAAGACAAAAGAUACUCUUGGUACCUACAUUAUCCAGGUCGAAAUCUAGUAUGACCAGCGUCCCUAGCAGGAUCUGACCCAUUUACUUUGGCGGUAGCAGACACCAACUCUUGGACGGGGUAUUUACCCGUUGUCUAUAUCACAGCCCUUUUUCUGGACCCAUUCACGACCCAAUUGUCGUUGCCGGCGGGUAGUCGGUAUGGGUCCGCUAUGAUGGCGAUAUCCGUACCCCACUCAGAAACCACCUGACAAAGCAGUUACUUAGCCGCGUCACAGUGGUUCCGGUUCAGCUGCGUUACCUGCACUGUGAUUUGUUCACUAUGGCUUUCUUGAAGGCCGG